rnacentral:rRNA from 1 species
ACGAACGCUUGCGGCGUGCUUAACACAUGCCAGUCGAACGGAAAGGCCCUGCUUUUGUGGGGUGCUCGCGUGGCGAACGGGUGAGUAACACGUGAGUAACCUGCCCUUGACUUUGGGAUAACUUCAGGAAACUGGGGCUAAUACCGGCUAGGAGCUCCUGCUGCCUGGUGGGGGUUGGAAAGUUUCGGCGGUUGGGGAUGGACUCGCGGCUUAUCAGCUUGUUGGUGGGGUAGUGGCUUACCAAGGCUUUGACGGGUAGCCGGCCUGAGAGGGUGACCGGCCACAUUGGGACUGAGAUACGGCGCAGACUCCUACGGGAGGCAGCAGUGGAGAAUAUUGCACAAUGGGCGGAAGCCUGAUGCAGCAACGCCGCGUGCGGGAUGACGGCCUUCGGGUUGUAAACCGCUUUCGCCUGUGACGAAGCGUGAGUGACGGUAAUGGGUAAAGAAGCACCGGCUAACUACGUG